rnacentral:lncRNA from 13 species
CCACAUUGUUUCCAGCUACAGACCUUACGAGACACCAAUAUGGGAAACUAUGUGAGGUCAGCUAGCAUUAAAAUAAAAUCAAUUACUAUGUGCCAAGCCCAGAGCAUGGAGGAGCCUUUGCCUCAAAACCCUAAGUGUUACCAGGCCUUGUGGGGGUUUGGGUGGGAGGCAGUCUCAAAACUUUAAGAUUCCCAGACAACAGCAUUAGCAUCACCUGGGACCUUGUUAGAAAUCUAAGUCCUCAGCUCCAACCACUGAAUCAGGCACUCAGGGGCCAGGCCUAGUAGUCAGUUUUAAAGAACACCUCUCCUGUGUGAUUCUGAUGCUGGCUUCAGUCUAAGAAUCACUGAUCAAAGCCUGUUUUUGUAGCUGGAGAAACUGGGGUUCAGAGAAUGUGCCACUUACUCAAGGUCAUAACUGUUAAAUUGCUGGCUUGGUUUUAAGUCCAGUUUUGUCGGUUCUAGAAACAAGGCUUAUAUACAGGCCUUCCCAUUUUGGGGUUGGAGAAGGAAUCUGAAGAAUCCCAGAAAGGAGAAGAGUCAAGGAAAGCCCUUUUACAGAGAAAGCAGACCCAGACCUUAGGUCCCUUGGUUCUUUGCCUCCCUAGCAGCCAGACAUCCAGGGUGGCUCACACUCUCACCCCAUACACCCCACUGGAGGCUGGAGGGGAAGCCACAGCACUGUUAGGCUUCCUGACAGCGACCUGCAUCUUUCAGAAGUAAGAGGUAUGCCGGGCCCUACCCCUGCCACAAAACACACAACUUGGAAAUACUAGCAGGUAUAGCCUCUAAUAUGCUGUUAAAUUCAACAGAAAAUUGCACACUGCAAAUGCAUGAAAACAGGGAUGAAUAGUCCAAGCCUGCCCAGGAGGUGGCCCAUUGCUCAAAGAGGCACCCACAUCUGUGACAAGUUGCAGUACCAGUCCAGCGGGUUUGCGGUCCCACCCUCCUUGGACUGCAGACAGAAAAGAAGAGUUGGGCUGGGGUAUGAGAAUGAAGAACUGGACGGCAUCUAGGAAAUAAAAAUGAACUGACCUUGCA